rnacentral:lncRNA from 1 species
AACAGAUCAGUGUACUCUUGGAAUGGAGACUUGCUGAAACGGGUAUCCUUCCAGAAAUCGGGCGUCAAGAACCCAUAGGUCUUCAGGAGACAGUCAAAAGUAGCCUGCAACAAUGACGACAAUGUACAAAAUGAGGAAAUUCAGAGAUAUGAUGCACAAAGAACAAUACACAAUCCAGAACAUUGAAAAAUCCUGAAAAUAACAUACAGAAGCAACCAAAGCUUAUCCGAUAUGAAAACCAAAACCAAAUUUUAACUAGCAACACAUAGCAGGAAGCCUUUAAGAUUCAUAAUCUCAUAUAAACAAAACCAUAUGCCAAUUAACCAACUUUACAAAUUGAAUUCAUCAUAACAGUUUAAACUUCCAAGCUUUAAUCAAACAUGAUUGAAUGGGAAACUGAAAGCGUAUAAACAGAGCAGUUAAACAAAAAUGAAUAAAGAUUCAUCAAAAGAGAAUAAUACUAAUAUGAUAAUCGAUUCCUCCAGAGUGAUUACGAGCACAACUAAAAGCAUCAUUCAAUUGAAGGGCAUUUCUAAAAUAACAGAAAGAAUUCAAACCUUGACGAAGUUGCCAAGGGUCUUUGUAGAGCCACGGGAGGAAGUGAAAACAUCUUCAAUCCCAGCAAACUGAAGAACCUUCUUCGGCACGCGAGCAGCAACGAUUCCAGCACCGCGAGGAGCAGGAACCAUCCUCACAGUAACGGAACCACAUUUCCCAGUAACCUUGCAGGGCACUGUAUGAGGCAAACCGAUCUUGUUUCCCCAGUAACCCCUCCUGACCGGGAUAACAGAGAGCUUAGCAAGGAUAAUUGCUCCACGAAUAGCAGUAGCAACUUCCUUGGAGCACUUCACGCCCAAUCCGACGUGGCCAUUACAGUCUCCGACGACGACGCAGGCCUUGAAUCCAGUCCUCCGACAGGCGCGGGGCGGGUCUUCGUGAUGAGGGUCUGCGUGGUGGUCGGUCUCCGCCGGCUACUCUGUCAGACAUUGUUUCUCAAUUUGCAGUGAAACAAUUAGGGUUUGUGCGCAAGGGUGGAUGAAGAUUGGAAAGCGGCUUGGUGGGUUUAGGGGUUUUAUGUACAGAUAUAGUUCCAAGGUUUUAAUGGGCAAGAAAUGAUGGCCCAGUUUGUUGGACUUUUAAUAUGUGGGCCGUGGGCUUUUUGGACUUCAAAAUGAUUUAUUCUUAGCUUAUCAUUCGAAAAUAUUUGAAUUUAUCACCGUGAAAAAAACAAUAUUAUCCUCAUAUAAGAAUAUUAGUAUCUAAUAUCCUCGUAUAAGAAUACAAUAUUGUUAUUAUAUUUCACGGAUACGUAACUAAUAUGACAUCAUUAUGUCAUCAAUUAUGUUAUGUCGGUUUUAGAACAUAUGGUUAUUGAUGAUGGAUCUAUUGCAUUCAUCUCUCUAUAUUAAGCUUAAUUUUCUAUGUUUUGUAAGAUCACUUUAUGCAUUAGUUUAGGUAGUUUAGACUACUUAUGAUUAUUUGCUUUGUUUUGUUUUGUUCGUGUUGAUUUGUUUUGAGUCUAUUUGAUGUUAUUUUAGAGUGUGUUGCAUUUCAAACGUGGUAAGCAUGUCAAAUGGGUGUUUUACGUAUCAAGAAAAGACAAAUGGGUGUUUUUCGAGUGUUGAACACAAAUCUAAAUAAUCUUCACUUCUAAGUGUCGUUUAUUAACUUGGACGGUUUCAUUUAUCGAGAGACGAUACAAGCAAUCGUAGGAUGUCUGAAAUUGUCUCUCUACUUAUUACAUAUUUGUGUUAUCGUGUAUAUAUGUUUGGUUACUUAGGCAGAACUGAGAGUUACGGUGACAUACAUAUAAAUACUUUGAAAGAAAGGCUAUCAGAGAAUAUAAACACAACUUGAUUCUUGUUGUGGAGUUAGUUUGUUACGAGGCUACCGAGUUGCACUCCCUCAUUCUAAUGAAUUAUCACAAGUUGAUGAAGAAUGCAUUAGUAAUUUAGUACCAAUCAUGCAACUACCUAUCUGGAUAGCAUUGGACACCAAAUGUUUUUGUAUGUUCACAAUUUUUUCUAUAUAUUGAUAUAUUAUUCUUGUUAUAAUUUACUUAAUAUUGUCGAAAAAGAUUUGAUUUUAUCAGGCGAGUAACGUUGUGAAGUAUUAACCAAUGAUUAAACUGAACAAACCUUGACAAAGAAACGAGUAUGUCAAAGGACAGAGAUUAAGGAAACCAGAAAGUCGCCACUUGAAGAAGGUAGUCACUGACUUUUAACCAAACCGAUCAAAAAGAAGCUAGCAAUCCAAAAUAUGCCACGAGAACGUAGGCAAAUUCACCAUGAACGUAAACCAAGACUAUAACAAGGUUUGCAACACUUGAAAGAAAUCCAUACUAUUUGCUACCCUCUUGCUCUAUAAAUAAUCCCCUUUAACAUUCUGGAAAAAGUAGACAGACCACAUUUCCCAUUACAUUGAAUCAAGCUUCUGCUACCCUCUCAACAUCCUCAAGAACAAGAGCCUUGGUUGGCUUUCCUAACAGGUCAGUGUACUCUUGGAAUGGAGAUUUGCUGAAGCGGGUAUCCUUCCAGAAAUCAGGCGUCAAGAAUCCGUAGGUCUUCAGGAGACAGUCAAAGGUAGCCUGCAACGACGGCAACAAUGUAGAAAUGAGAAACUUCAAUAGAGAACUCCACAUUAUGUGAUUAUGCACAAAGAACACAAACAGUCUAGAACAUUGGAACACACCAAUUACAACAUACAAUAGCAAUCAAUUGAAAUCAUAACACAUGGCUGGAAGCCUAUAGGAGUAUAUUCAUGUCAUAUUCAAGAAACAAUAUAUAAAGUCAUCAUCUUUGCACAUCGAAUUCAGCAUAUCUGUUCAACCUUCCAAGCUUUCAUCAAAUAUGAUUCACCCACCCAGCUAUUCAGAAUAUUGGAACCAAAACAUCAUACUUCAAACAAUAUGGCGAACUGAAACCAUAUAAUAUAAUCAAUUAC